rnacentral:rRNA from 1 species
CUGACUGCUAUCGGAUUGGUACUAAGCCAUGUGAGUCAUGUAGCAAUACAAGGCAUACGCUCAGUAACACGUAGUCAAUCUGCCCUAUGAACGUGGAUAACCUCGGGAAACUGAGAAUAAUCCGCGAUAGAUCAUAAUGCCUGGAACGGUUUAUGGUCCAAAUGAUUCGUCGCCAUAGGAUGGGACUGCGGCCUAUCAGCUUGUUGGUGAGGUAAUGGCCCACCAAGGCUAUUACAGGUACGGGCUCUGAGAGGAGAAGCCCGGAGAUGGGUACUGAGACACGGACCCAGGCCCUAUGGGGCGCAGCAGGCGAGAAACCUUUGCAAUGUGCGCAAGCACGACAAGGUUAAUCCGAGUGUUUCCUGCUAAAGGAAUCUUUUGUUAGUUCUAAAACCACUGAUGAAUAAGGGGUGGGCAAGUUCUGGUGUCAGCCGCCGCGGUAAAACCAGCACCUCAAGUGGUCAGGAGGAUUAUUGGGCCUAAAGCAUCCGUAGCCGGUUCUGUACGUUUCCGGUUAAAUCCACUAGCUCAACUAAUGGGCUGCCGGAAAUACUGCAGAACUAGGGAGUGGGAGAGGUAGACGGUACUCGGGAGGAAGGGGUAAAAUCCUUUGAUCUCUUGAUGACCACCUGUGGCGAAGGCGGUCUACCAGAACACGUUCGACGGUGAGGGAUGAAAGCUGGGGGAGCAAACCGGAUUAGAUACCCGGGUAGUCCCAGCUGUAAACGAUGCAGACUCGGUGAUGCACUGGCUUUUGGCCAGUGCAGUGCCGCAGGGAAGCCGUUAAGUUUGCCGCCUGGGAAGUACGUACGCAAGUAUGAAACUUAAAGGAAUUGGCGGGGGAGCACCACAAGGGGUGAGGCCUGCGGUUCAAUUGGAGUCAACGCCGGAAA